ACACGUAGGGGGCGAGCGUUGUUCGGAAUCAUUGGGCGUAAAGGGCGUGCAGGCGGUCCUGCAAGUGCGGCGUGAAAGACCCCGGCCCAACCGGGGGGACGCGCUGGAAACUGCGGGGCUUGAGUACAGGAGGGGAUGCCGGAAUUCCAGGUGUAGGGGUGAAAUCUGUAGAUAUCUGGAAGAACACCAAUGGCGAAGGCAGGCAUCUGGCCAUGUACUGACGCUGAGACGCGAAGGUGCGGGGAGCAAACAGGUUUAGAUACCCUGGUAGUCCGCACAGUAAACGAUGUGCACCAGGUGGCGGGGGGUCGACCCUCGGUACCGUAGCUAACGCAUUAAGUGCACCGCCUGGGGAGUAUGCUCGCAAGGGCGAAACUCAAAUGAAUUGACGGGG
rnacentral:rRNA from 1 species